ensembl:lncRNA
UUUUGUUGAUUGUUUAAGACAAAUGACUACUGAAUGAUAGGAAAUUCCUUUUUAGGUUUCUAAACAGGAUCUUAAGAAUUUUAACACGUACCUGUGUUGUCCUGUCAACUUGAGGGGUUAUGAGUUGAUUAUAUGGAAAAAAAAAAAAAAAAAAAAAAAAAAAAAAAAAGGGGGGGACGAGAUCUCGUUGUUUCUCCCCUCUCGGGAUAACACAGCCAACACAGCACAGCCAACACAACAUCAUUUUCCUGUUCGCCUGUUUUGUUUUGUUUUUGUUUUUUCUGAGAGCCGAAGCUGACCUGGACUCCUACCCUCCCCUCUACCAUCGUUGCCCUCUCCGCGACCAUCUUUGACCCUUUGACCCCUGAAGGCCACAGCAGCUGGACUCACAACAACAACUUGAGGAUGUCAACAGUGCUGCAAAAGAGUGAUCUCAUGCAGCAGAGACGGAGAGCACUAAACCUAAAGCCCGUUUCACUACACGGGGGAAAUUCCCAGGCUGCGUCAGCUGACAGAGCUGUGACGAGACGCGCAUUAAGCCCGGAGGAAAAGGGACGGUGAGCAGAAGGAUGCUGACCUCUGAGAAGAGCCGAACAGCAGAGCUGCAGAAGGCCGUGGAGCAAAGUAAGGACAACAUAAACAGACCCAAAGAGGAGGGGAGGACCCUAGGCCAUGCGUCAGGCCGCUGGUUUACCUAAACUACAGAACAGAAAGGUGAUGAACACAAACAUAUACCAACACACGAACACACACUUCUGCAUGCGCCUACUUAGAAUGAAGGGAAACACACACAUGAACACUUAUGCACUUGUUGAGGGAGUAAAAACUGAUACAUACCCAUGCACUAAAAUCAAAAUGUUGAUUUAAUUUACUAAGAAGUGACACACAAUGCUCUAGCUGCUGCAAUGAAGAAUGCUUUACUGACAAAGGCUCAAUGCUGCACACAACAAAGUCAAAUACAGAAUUUGCUAUAAUAAUAAGCCCAGAGGGCAUUUGUGUGGUCUGGGGAGCAGAGUCCGGAGCGGUUUGGUUAUGAAAAUGAUGCCCGUGCGAGAUAUCUGGGGCUUAAGGCCUCGACUUAAUUGUUUACUCUACACUAAAAAGAAAAGAAAACACUCUGAGCAGUGGCGCAGAGUGAAAACGAGGAAUUAACAGUGUGAGUUUUAUUUCAGAGCGCCACGUCAUUGUGAUGGAGAUUUAAUAAAGGAGGAACACACGGACAAAGAAGAAGAGAAGGGGGGGCAGCUCUUGAACGCGAUUGCCUGAGGCAUUAAAGUUCUGUACUAAAUUCUGGUUUCCAGUGUGAGAAAAGUCACGCAGUGCCAGUAGUAGAGCUAGGUUGAGUGAUGAUUCUAAAUUACUAUCUGCACAUCGGAAAUUACAAGCAUUACACGUCGGCGAGAAAAUUGUUGUAAGUGAGUUUCUCCGCAUUGAAAUGGGUUCUGGAGGAAACACUUGUGGGGACAAUUAGAAACGAGAGUCCCUGUUUAAAAAAGGAUUCGGCGAGGUAAUCCAAACUCAAGUUCUUGUUUCUUUUUGAGAUGACGUCAUUUUGCUGAGUGUGGAAACUAGAUGCGACGACAGGUUUCACUAUCAGCAAAGAACGGAUGAAUGGAUGAAAGACUGGGAAUAAAAACAAACGGACUGACUGGUAAGAGAUGACAAGACUUGACCAUGACUCAAGGUUAACCACCUCCACCUAGAUAGGAUAAAAGGGUGGAUGAAUUUAUGUGGGUUUCUUUUACAGGAGUAGAAGGAUGACAAAAUAUUCGAGGAUGAGUGAACCUGUAAAUGCCAUUUUUGUGUCUUGUGUUGCUUACAGAGGUAACUGCGCAGCGUUACCAUUUACAUUUUCUUCCCUACAGGGUUACAGUUUUAAUGUUUUUCUAUUACAGGAUUUCUGGGCGGAUGUGUGAAGAAACGGUGUUUAUGGGUUAGGAGUUGGGGAUGCUAUUACACUGUAUUCUGGUGAGAGUGUUGGGGGAGACACACCCUGUCUUGAAAACUGUGAUUCUUUUACAGGAAAUGUUUUAUAGCACCUAUGGAAUGAGGAUGCCUGACUACGGUCAAUGUGCUGCUAAUGUUUGCUUUGCUUUGGUGAGAGGGGUGCAGUAGAAAACAGACAAGUGACAUGAAAACAAGUAAUAAUAACAAAUAACAAAUUUGGGGACAGUUUGACCUAGAGCCCACUAACUGGCCAUUAGGGGCUCUCUCUCUCUCUCUCUCUCUCUCUCUCUCUCUCUCUCUCUCUCUCUCUCUCUCUCUCUCUCUCUCUCUCUCUCUCUCUCUCAGGUUGUUGCUCUUUAACUCCUAGAACACGCCCUUGGCGAGGUGGGGGGAACUGGACCACCUUUCUGUGCCCCAUCAUCCUCUAUUAGACGACAUCCAAGCUAAGUAAACAUGUCUUGGCCCUUUCCCCCUGAAAUGACAGGCAGGCAAAGAUGUUGCGUCUUUGUUUGCUUCCUGGCCCUGGGUCUCAUUCCCAUUGGCAUAAUCCUGAUCUGUGAAGGGCCCCCGACACUUCUGACACCUUCAAGUUCAAAAGCUUCGCCCCCUUCUGACAGUCCCAAUCUGACAAAUGUAGCCCCUAGGGUCUUGCCCACCACUUCCUCUCCAGUUUUGCCCACGCCCGAUCCAUUUAGAAAGAAACGAGACACGGUUACCUCCUCGCCAACGGAUGAUGAAAACUCUGAUCGUGAGGGUGACGAACAUUAUCGUCUUUCUCUUGUUUAAAUUCUUCUAGAAUGGUUGUUUCUCUGUGGUGUUUUGUAUUAGGCUUGUUAUUAAUUGUUUCCCUCACCCACUUCCUCUUGAAGGAUAUAUCUGGUUGAACUGUGUCUGGUCGGGUUGUGAGGGUUAAGCGAUGUUCUCAGGGUCUCCGGACUUAAGCCUGAGCGAAUGUGUACUCCCACCAAUGGAUAUGAAUUGUUUUUUUUUUCCACACCCCUUCCUCACGUUUUACCAUAUUCACUUUUGAAUGUCCUUAGCAGUUACCGUUCUGGGUUUAUUUUACGGUUGAUUUAUUCUUUCACAUUUUCACGUUUAUAUCUCUCAUUAUUAUAGUAGACUCUGUACUCUCCACAUUUUUAUCAUUACUUAUGCUUUUUGGUUGCUGAGUUACAGGAACUGUUAAUUUUGUGUCACUACCCUGGUUGCACUAACUCGUUGUAUCCGUGUGUGCAGGACAGCUGUUACUGCUUUCAUCGGGAACCGAGACUGCUUGCAGCCGACCCCUGGGCAGGGUGGUGCCUGGACUCUUUUCUCCUCAUCUGCAAUGACAGAUAAAGACAAAUGAUAAGACCCGAGGAGUUUUUCGAGCCAGGCUUCGACACGUCUCUGUGUUCCUUUGAAUGUUACUUAUGUUUGUGUGUUGACCCAUUUAAGAUGGGUCAAAAGGGGGAUUUGAAGAAAAUAUAAUCUGAUCAAACACUAUUCAGCUUUAAAUAUUGUUCAGCUUUAAAGUUACUGUGCAACUGUGUAAUAAAAAUAUGUGCUCACGACUUUGGCCUUGAGAGCGAUAAGAAGCGAUCGCCUCAUUCUGCAGGUGCAAGAUAUCUGCAAGCGAAGACACUAGAACACCCAAGGCCGCUUUCCUUUUAUGGAGUUGUUUUUCUGCUAAUGCAGCACUGUCCUCACAACCUCCUCCUGUAAGUUUUAGAGAAUAUAUACCCAUCCUCACAGC